rnacentral:tRNA from 1 species
GUCUGUAGCUCAGUAGGAUAGAGCAACGGCCUUCUAAGCCGUAGGUCAGGGGUUCGAAUCCCUUCAGG